rnacentral:rRNA from 1 species
CCUACGGGUGGCAGCAGUGAGGAAUAUUGGUCAAUGGGCGCGAGCCUGAACCAGCCAAGUAGCGUGAAGGAUGACUGCCCUACGGGUUGUAAACUUCUUUUAUAAAGGAAUAACGUGAGGCUCGUGUGCCUUUUUGUAUGUACUUUAUGAAUAAGGAUCGGCUAACUCCGUGCCAGCAGCCGCGGUACUACGGAGGAUCCGAGCGUUAUCCGGAUUUAUUGGGUUUAAAGGGAGCGUAGAUGGGUUGUUAAGUCAGUUGUGAAAGUUUGCGGCUCAACCGUAAAAUUGCAAUUGAUACUGGCAGCCUGGAGUACAGUUGAGGUAGGCGGAAUUCGUGGUGUAGCGGUGAAAUGCUUAGAUAUCACGAAGAACUCCGAUGGCGAAGGCAGCCUACUAGACUGCCACUGACAUUGAGGCUCGAAAGUGUGGGUAUCAAACAGGAUUAGAUACCCCAGUAGUC